UUGGGUGGAAAAACUAUCUUGUUUGAAACAAUAAUGCAAUCAAACUCCAAUUCAAAGGCAACACUAUAGUUUACUUCAGACCAUGGAACAUAGAGCAAAUACUGUAUCAGUAAAAAGCUUUUUUCUUCCAGAACUGUCACACAUAUAAUAAUAGAUAAUAUGCUCCUUCUUUAAAUUACUGUAUAAAGGAUAUUAAGAGUGACCUUGGAGUUCUAUAUCUCUAAUAAAAGCACUUGGCCUGCGGCUUUGAGUCUUUAUACUUUUGUGGAACAUGACUUCUAAUAUUCUUAUAAUUUACAGUUGGGAGUCAUUAUCACAUAUGUCAAUGGCUUGGGAAAACAUUUCAUAUUACACUCAUAGCAGAUAUAAAUGUAUGAAAUACAUAGCAAUAAGCACCUGCUCUGAGUUCUAGGAAAUUACUAGAACUAUCCUUAGUUUGAUGGCUAGUAAUUGUCUCUUUCUGUCAUCUUUGGCUCCUUGAGUGCGUGUCUUGCCUGGUGCAGGAGUAGGAUUUGGGUAUGAACAGCUCCAGACUUGAGCUUUUUUUUAUCUGGGAUAAUCUGGUCUCAGGUAUUUUAAAUUACUUGCAGCUCUUUGCAUCCAGGAAGAAAAAUGACUCAAACCAUUGCACAAACUGGAUGGGAACAGCAAGAGAACUACGUGGCCCAAUAUGGAAACGCCGUAAAGGAAAUGAAGAAAAGCUUAGUGGUCACAGUAGUAGAUACAGGUGAUCUCCUUUAGGCAAGGCCUUUGCAGUUUUCAUUUGGUUUCUCUGCAUAGAAGAUCCCAUGGAGGAAACUCUUCCUGUGGACUCAAAAAGUCUUUUGGCUUUCUGCUACCUUCUUUGGAGCCACUUUUGAAUCUUUUCACUAGUCUGCAGGACCAACCUGAGGAGCAGAACCUGACCAAUUCCAGGAAAUCACACCCAGCUGAAGAUGAAGCUUUUCUCAGAGUUCAGCCUAAGAAAUUAUGAGAAACAAAAGACAUUCUUACACAAAUUUAUUUUGACUAAUUCUCCUCAACAUAGGUCUCUGAUUCUUUCUUAAAAAUGUGCUUUGUGUACUGUAUCUCAUACCUUACUGGUACCACUAAUCAAUAUAACUAAAUUAUAUUAAUACAGAACAGAGCCUCGCUUCUCUUUAUUUACCAUUUUAACUAUGAUUGUUUAAAUGUUACAUUUUUGACAUCAGAGAGUUCUGGGGUAGUCUGCAAUAGUGUCAAAUAAUUAAGCAGCUGUGAUAAAAACAUUAGUGUUGUAGAGGGGUGUAGUCCCACCACUAAUUGUACGUCCUUUCUCUCUUCUCAUUCUAAUUAACCCCUUAUGGGGUCCUGCUCCCUCUAUUUAAUUCUCCUAAGCCUUCAGAGAUAGAUUAAGACCAAAUGUCUUAAAUGUAGCUCAAGUC